rnacentral:rRNA from 1 species
GGGUUAGUAACGCGUGGGAAUAUGCCCAAAGGUACGGAAUAGCCUCUGGAAACGGAGAGUAAUACCGUAUGUGCCCUACGGGGGAAAGAUUUAUCGCCUUUGGAUUAGCCCGCGUCUGAUUAGAUAGUUGGUGGGGUAACGGCCUACCAAGUCGACGAUCAGUAGCUGGUUUGAGAGGAUGAUCAGCAACACUGGGACUGAGACACGGCCCAGACUCCUACGGGAGGCAGCAGUGGGGAAUCUUAGACAAUGGGCGCAAGCCUGAUCUAGCCAUGCCGCGUGAGUGACGAAGGUCUUAGGAUCGUAAAGCUCUUUCGCCAGGGAUGAUAAUGACAGUACCUGGUAAAGAAACCCCGGCUAACUCCGUGCCAGCAGCCGCGGUAAUACGGAGGGGGUCAGCGUUGUUCGGAAUUACUGGGCGUAAAGCGCACGUAGGCGGAUUAUUAAGUCAGAGGUGAAAUCCCGGGGCUCAACCCCGGAACUGCCUUUGAUACUGGUAAUCUUGAGUUCGAGAGAGGUGAGUGGAAUUCCGAGUGUAGAGGUGAAAUUCGUAGAUAUUCGGAGGAACACCAGUGGCGAAGGCGGCUCACUGGCUCGAUACUGACGCUGAGGUGCGAAAGUGUGGGGAGCAAACAGGAUUAGAUACCCUGGUA